AUGCAGCGACAGUGCCCCGUCGUCAAUGGCGACGCCGAUGCAUUGUGUGUGCUCAUGGCCAUGAUGGUCGCUCGGUGGUGGAAUCGAGGUUCCUACCAAGGAGGCGUCGUCGCUCAUUUCGAGGGUGUAGAGUCCGUUCCACCGGUCUCUGACGAGCCAGUGCGCCGUGCCCCGGCGCACGACGGCGCCGCCGUCCACGACGGUGAGCAUGACGCUUCUGAAGCACACUAUCUCCGCGCGCCAGCCCGGCUCGGUGGACGAGUAAGUGCAGAGGUCGUAGGUGAACGUGUCGCGGUUGAAGACGAGGAGCAGCACCUUGAAGAAGGCCGGGCGGCGGCGGCCGUCUUCGGCGAAGGUCACGACGGCGGAGCUGUUGAUGCGGAAGCCGAAGCGGCAUCGCAGCGGCGGCAGCUCGUCGCACGUGCCGGCGAUCAGGUCGCACACGGCCAGCCGGACGCCUCCGGGGACCUCGGUCGGCGCGUCGACGAGGCGCACGAGGAGGAGGCCGUCGCGCGACACGAACGGCACCGCGUCGUCCAGCAGGCCCGCGGCGCACGAGACCAAGGAGCGCAGGGAGCGGCACGCGCGGCCGAGCGGGCUUCCCCGCGCCGGGACGAGAGCCGGGGCGGAGGGGACGGCCGGCCCUCGCGCCCUGUAGCUUCGCACCUGAACGAAGAAGCCGACGAGGGAGGGCGGGUUCGGACACGAGGCCCCGCCAUCGCUUGCAAGCCACGGCGCAGCGGAAGAGGGCGGCGGCACAGGCAACGUGCGCCAGGAUCUCGCGGACCACGUCUUCCGGCAGCGUGGCCGCGCCGGCGGCUGCCGUCUCCGUCGUCUUCUCCAUGCUCCCUCGGGCGACGUCCAUGCGAUCGGAGGCAAAGCCGUGGCUCGGAUUUUGCUUCGGGGCGUGCGCGCCAGGAACCUCCGCCUCCGCUUAGAGCAUCUCCAACAGCCGCGCUUCGCGCCGCGUGCAAAAAACCUGUUUGCCGCGCGCGCUUCGGCUGGUUUAGCGCGGCCGCCAGCGCUGACUCCAACGGCCGCGCUAUAAUGCAGAGCGCGCGCCGUUCCAGCAGCGCGCAAAAAUACAGCGCGCGCAGCACGCACAAAUCACAUAUAUAUUUCAGAAAAGAGGAGAAAAAUGAUCGAAGAAACAAAAUAAAUCAACAAUAA
rnacentral:rRNA from 1 species